CCAUGGUUCUAUUUUGUUGGUUUAUAGGACCAAGGUAAUGAUUAAUAGGGACAGUUGGGGGCAUUUGUAUCGGAUCGUUAGGGGUGAAAUCCUUGGAUCGGUCCGAGACAAACUAAUGCGAAAGCAUUUGCCAAGGAUGUUUUCAUUAAUCAAGAACGAAAGUUAGGGGAUCGAAGACGAUUAGAUACCGUCGUAGUCUUAACCAUAAACUAUGCCGACUGAGGAUCAGACCAUGUUAUCUAUAUGACUGGUUUGGCACUCUACGAGAAAUCAAAGUUUUUAGGUUCCGGGGGGAGUAUGGUCGCAAGGCUGAAACUUAAAGGAAUUGACGGAAGGGCACCACCAGGAGUGGAGCCUGCGGCUUAAUUUGACUCAACACGGGGAAACUCACCAGGUCCAGA
rnacentral:rRNA from 1 species